rnacentral:tRNA from 1 species
GUUAAAUAGUUUAUAAAAAAUAUUCGUUUUGUAAAUGGAUGAAAGGAAAUAUCCUUUAACU